rnacentral:rRNA from 1 species
UACGUAGGCAGCAAGCGUUGUUCGGAUUGACUGGGCGUAAAGGGCGUGUAGGCGGUUGGUCAAGUCUGGUGUGAAAGCCCGGGGCUCAGCUCCGGAAGUGCAUCGGAAACUAGCCGACUGGAGCGCGAUAGAGGAGGGUGGAAUUCCUGGUGUAGCGGUGAAAUGCGUAGAUAUCAGGAGGAACACCGGCGGCGAAGGCGGCCCUCUGGAUCGUUGCUGACGCUGAGACGCGAAAGCGUGGGGAGCAAACAGG